rnacentral:rRNA from 1 species
GACGAACGCUGGCGGCGUGCCUAAUACAUGCAAGUUGAGCGCUGAAGGUUGGUACUUGUACCAACUGGAUGAGCAGCGAACGGGUGAGUAACGCGUGGGGAAUCUGCCUUUGAGCGGGGGACAACAUUUGGAAACGAAUGCUAAUACCGCAUAAAAACUUUAAACACAAGUUUUAAGUUUGAAAGAUGCAAUUGCAUCACUCAAAGAUGAUCCCGCGUUGUAUUAGCUAGUUGGUGAGGUAAAGGCUCACCAAGGCGAUGAUACAUAGCCGACCUGAGAGGGUGAUCGGCCACAGUGGGAAUGAGACACGGCCCAAAAUCCAACGGGAGGCAGCAGUAGAGAAUAAUAGGAAAAGGAAGAAAGUCUGAACGAGAAACAACGCGUGAGUGAAGAAGGUUAUCAGAUCGUAAAACUCUGUUGGUAGAGAAGAAAGUUGGUGAGAGUGGAAAGCGCAUAAAGUGACGGUAACUACCCAGAAAGGGACGGAUAACUACGUG